rnacentral:rRNA from 1 species
CCUACGGGAGGCAGCAGUGGGGAAUAUUGCACAAUGGGGGAAACCCUGAUGCAGCAACGCCGCGUGAGUGAUGACGGCUUUCGGGUUGUAAAGCUCUGUCUUCAGGGACGAAAAUGACGGUACCUGAGUAAGAAGCCACGGCUAACUACGUGCCAGCAGCCGCGGUAAUACGUAGGGGGCGAGCGUUAUCCGGAUUUACUGGGCGUAAAGGGAGCGUAGGCGGACUGAUAAGUGAGUUGUGAAAUACCCGGGCUUAACUUGGGUGCUGCUUUGCAAACUGGGAGGCUAGAGUGCAGGAGAGGAAAGUGGAAUUCCUAGUGUAGCGGUGAAAUGCGUAGAGAUUAGGAAGAACACCAGUGGCGAAGGCGGUUCUCUGGACUGUAACUGACGCUGAGGCUCGAAAGCGUGGGGAGCAAACAGGAUUAGAUACCCUAGUAGUC